AGGAUUCCCCUAGUAACUGCGAGUGAAGCGGGAAAAGCUCAAAUUUAAAAUCUGGCGGUCUCUGGCCGUCCGAGUUGUAAUCUAGAGAAGUAAUGCCCGUGCUGGACCGUGUAUAAGUCUCCUGGGAUGGGGCGUCAUAGAGGGUGAGAAUCCCGUCUUUGACACGGACUACCAGUGCAUUGUGGUAUGCUCUCAAAGAGUCGAGUUGUUUGGGAAUGCAGCUCAAAAUGGGUGGUAAAUUCCAUCUAAAGCUAAAUAUUGGCGAGAGACCGAUAGCGAACAAGUACCGUGAGGGAAAGAUGAAAAGAACUUUGGAAAGAGAGUUAAACAGUACGUGAAAUUGCUGAAAGGGAAACGCUUGAAGUCAGUCGCGUUGGCCAGGGAUCAGCCUUGCUCUUGCAUGGUGUACUUUCUGGUUGACGGGUCAGCAUCAAUUUUGACUGCUGGAAAAGGGCCUUGGGAAUGUAGCAGCUUUGGCUGUGUUAUAGCCCCUGGUCGCAUACAGUGGUUGGGAUUGAGGAACUCAGCACGCCGCAAGGCCGGGUUUCGACCACGUUCGUGCUUAGGAUGCUGGCAUAAUGGCUUUAAGCGACCCGUCUUGAAACACGGACCAAGGAGUCUAACAUGCCUGCGAGUAUUUGGGUGGAAAACCCGAGUGCGCAAUGAAAGUGAAAGUUGAGAUCCCUGUCGUGGGGAGCAUCGACGCCCGGACCAGAACUUUUGGGACGGAUCCGCGGUGGAGCAUGUAUGUUGGGACCCGAAAGAUGGUGAACUAUGCCUGAAUAGGGUGAAGCCAGAGGAAACUCUGGUGGAGGCUCGUAGCGAUUCUGACGUGCAAAUCGAUCGUCAAAUUUGGGUAUAGGGGCGAAA
rnacentral:rRNA from 1 species